AGCGAACUGAACGCACCUCGUGUUCAGAGGCAACACCACACUGAAGAGGCAUACAACCACACUGAAGAGGCAUACAACCACACUGAAGAGGCAUACAACCACACUGAAGAGGCAUACAACCACACUGAAGAGGCAUACAACCACACUGAAGAGGCAUACAACCACACUGAAGAGGCAUACAACCACAGGAUAUGAAUCCUGACACUUCAAGUCAGCUCUGCUUAGAGAGUGGGAGCGGAGAGCAGACAGACGGGGCUUGCUGAAACUAUAAGGCACGGGACCCUAAGACGUUCAGAGUGCUUUGUACUGUACACCAAAAUGGAAGACAUCCUCCUCCCUCAUGUGGUACCCUUCCUGCAGGCUCCUCCUGACAUGACUCUCUAGCAUGACAAUGCCACCAACCAUACUGCUCGUUCUGUGCGUGGUUUCCUGCAAGACAGGAAUGUCAGUGUUCUUCUAUGGCCAGCGAAGAGCCCGGAUCUCAGUUCCAUUGAGCACAUCUGGGACCUGUUGGACCGGAGGGUGAGGGCUAGGGCCAUUCCCCCAAGAAAUAUCAAGAACAUGGAGGUACCUUGGUGGGAGUAAAAUCUCACAGCAAGAACUGGCACAUCUGGUGCAGUCCAUGAGGAGGAGAUGCACUGCAGUAUUUAAUGCAGGCUGAGAUUUAGGCUUCUUUUCCCCUCAAGUACAAAGGAAAGCAUAUAUUUGUUUUUUGGAGUCAUGUACUCAUUCUUUAGGAACAUUAGAAUACCAUCAUAGACUUCUAAAAGGGUAUAUUGUUUUAGUAUUCAGUUACCUGUUUAUAGUACGGAAUUCUAUUACAAGGAACAUUCCUACCUGUGAAUUUGUUGUCUCCUAUUUACUUUCACUUUACAUCAGGGGACAAAGCAUACAUACUCCUUCAGAAGUUCUGUCACCCUAAAGCUGUAAAGAGGACACAUCCCUAUCUUUGCCAUUUCCGUGUAUGUGACAGUAUGACCAGAGCCAUUGAGUGCUCUCUCCAUUUUAAAGUAGUACAAUGUUAUUCUACUUCUAGGAGAUUAUUGGUGGUUUGUUAAACUGAAAAGGUGCAUAAUGCCUACUAUUGUGAUGUAUGUUGUAUAGUUUCAACAGGCAUAAAGCAAAGCACCUGUACGGUGCUGGAAUAUUUGCUCAGAAGUAUAAUGCAUUGGCUUAUCACUCCCGCUGACCUGGAUGGAAUUCUGCUUAACCCAUCAAGUUGAUGUGUUUGAUACCGUUUUCCAUGUAUUCUGUUCCGUGUAUGUUUGUUAACUUGCUAUGUGUAUAAAGAAAGUGUGGUUUUUGUUCUCUUUUAUUACAACUGUAUUCCUAUGACUGUUUAUUGUUGAAGUGAUAAUGCCUGAGAAGCCGGUGU